rnacentral:lncRNA from 1 species
AUGAGGAGGAGGAGGAGGAGGGGUUGUGGUAGGAGGAGGAGGGGCGGUGGUAGGAGGAGGAGGGGUGGUGGUAGGUGGAGGAGGGGUGGUGGUAGGAGGUGGAGGUGGAGGUGGAGGAGUUGUUGGAUGGAAUGGAUGAAAGGGAGGAGGAGGAGGAGAAGUUGUUGGAGGAAAAGGGUCAAAAUGUGGUGGAGGAGGAGUUGUUGGAGGAAAAGGGUCAAAAUGUGGUGGAGGAGGAGCUAUUGGAAACUUACACAAAUUAUAACCAAACCAAGUUUCAUUAGGGAUAGAGGUAUUG